GAUGAACGCUGGCGGCGUGCCUAAUACAUGCAAGUCGAGCGAACGGACGAGAAGCUUGCUUCUCUGAUGUUAGCGGCGGACGGGUGAGUAACACGUGGAUAACCUACCUAUAAGACUGGGAUAACUUCGGGAAACCGGAGCUAAUACCGGAUAAUAUUUUGAACCGCAUGGUUCAAAAGUGAAAGACGGUCUUGCUGUCACUUAUAGAUGGAUCCGCGCUGCAUUAGCUAGUUGGUAAGGUAACGGCUUACCAAGGCAACGAUGCAUAGCCGACCUGAGAGGGUGAUCGGCCACACUGGAACUGAGACACGGUCCAGACUCCUACGGGAGGCAGCAGUAGGGAAUCUUCCGCAAUGGGCGAAAGCCUGACGGAGCAACGCCGCGUGAGUGAUGAAGGUCUUCGGAUCGUANAACUCUGUUAUUAGGGAAGAACAUAUGUGUAAGUAACUGUGCACAUCUUGACGGUACCUAAUCAGAAAGCCACGGCUAACUACGUGCCAGCAGCCGCGGUAAUACGUAGGUGGCAAGCGUUAUCCGGAANUUAUGGGCGUAAGCGCGCGUAGGCGGUUUUUUAAGUCUGAUGUGAAAGCCCACGGCUCAACCGUGGAGGGUCAUUGGAAACUGGAAAACUUGAGUGCAGAAGAGGAAAGUGGAAUUCCAUGUGUAGCGGUGAAAUGCGCAGAGAUAUGGAGGAACACCAGUGGCGAAGGCGACUUUCUGGUCUGUAACUGACGCUGAUGUGCGAAAGCGUGGGGAUCAAACAGGAUUAGAUACCCUGGUAGUCCACGCCGUAAACGAUGAGUGCUAAGUGUUAGGGGGUUUCCGCCCCUUAGUGCUGCAGCUAACGCAUUAAGCACUCCGCCUGGGGAGUACGACCGCAAGGUUGAAACUCAAAGGAAUUGACGGGGACCCGCACAAGCGGUGGAGCAUGUGGUUUAAUUCGAAGCAACGCGAAGAACCUUACCAAAUCUUGACAUCCUUUGACAACUCUAGAGAUAGAGCCUUCCCCUUCGGGGGACAAAGUGACAGGUGGUGCAUGGUUGUCGUCAGCUCGUGUCGUGAGAUGUUGGGUUAAGUCCCGCAACGAGCGCAACCCUUAAGCUUAGUUGCCAUCAUUAAGUUGGGCACUCUAAGUUGACUGCCGGUGACAAACCGGAGGAAGGUGGGGAUGACGUCAAAUCAUCAUGCCCCUUAUGAUUUGGGCUACACACGUGCUACAAUGGACAAUACAAAGGGCAGCGAAACCGCGAGGUCAAGCAAAUCCCAUAAAGUUGUUCUCAGUUCGGAUUGUAGUCUGCAACUCGACUACAUGAAGCUGGAAUCGCUAGUAAUCGUAGAUCAGCAUGCUACGGUGAAUACGUUCCCGGGUCU
rnacentral:rRNA from 1 species